AUGCUCUUCAGCUCUAGAAGAUAGAAGAUAAUAAUACACUUGUGUUCAUUGUGGAUGUCAAGGCCAACAAGCACCAGAUCUAACAGGCUGUGAAGAAGCUCUAUGACAUUGAUGUGGCCAAGGUCAACACCCUGAUCAGGCCUGAUGGCAAGAAGAAGGCAUAUGUUCAACUGGCUCUUGACUAUGAGGUUUUGGAUGUUGCCAACAAAAUUGGAAUUAUCUAAACUGAGUUCAGCUGCCUAAUUCUAAAUAUAAAAAUUUUACACUG